UGAACCUGACCUGCCUGUACAAAUGCAGGCAUAAAAAAACAAGACAAAAAGACCCUGUGAAGCUUUAAAUGUAAAUCAACAAGCUGAUCAACACAUUUUUGGUUGGGGCAACCAAAGAGAAAUAUAAACCUCACAACCAGUCACAAGGCCAACAAGCCAACUGACAAGACAACAUAGACCCAGUAUUACUGAUCAAAGAACCAAGUUACUCCAGGGAUAACAGCGCUACAUUCUUGAAGAGUCCAUAUCAACAAGAAUACCUACGACCUCGAUGUUGGAUUAGGGUACCCAGAUGGCGCAAAAGUUAUCAACGGUUCGUUUGUUCAACGAUUAAAAC
rnacentral:rRNA from 1 species